UCCCUAACAACGCGCCCAGAAGAGCUACUGUUGCCCUCAGUGCAUUGCUGGUGUCUCUCCCACUACAACAAGAGGCCACUGUGGUUCCUCCGGUUCUCCAGAGCCUACGUGGCGAGCGCUCAUGGAGGAAUGGAUGAAGAGGACGUCUGAAUGUUUAAUCUGCCUCCCAAGCUCAGUUCCCAAAUUGGAUUCAAAUGUGAGCUAACAGCCUGCUCCUAGGGCUCAUCCACCUUGCCCUGUUUGUGAAAAUUCCUUCCACGUGCUGCUCUGAUGCAAAGUUGGGCUUCCGAGGCUGACAGUGUUACCAUAUGCCUGCAAUCAGUGGGAAAGCUGAGAGGCAGACUGCAUGGGCUACAUAGUGAAUUCUAUCUCAGCCAGAGCUUUAUACCAAGACCUUGCCUCAAAAAGAAACAUGACAAAGCAAAACAACAACAAAGUGGUCUAGCAGGACCAGGACUGGCACUGUAGGCAACUGAGUAGCAGAGUAUUUCAGAAACAGAAGGGUCAGCAGGUCAGGCUUCCCCAUCUGCUUUGGGGAUGAGGAUCCCACAACCCAUAAGUGGACGCAGGAGAGCAAGGCUUGCUCUGUAGUGUGGAUUUGAGACUCCUAGCAGUGAGUCUCCCCUGUUUGCUUACGCAAUCCCCAACCCUCACACACAACCCCCAACCCUCACACACAGGUUCUUGAAGAAUGGCGGGCUGGGAGAACAGCACCAGACCUUGUGAGCAUUCUAACAGUGCUCAUUUAUAGUAAACCUUCACAAAGGUUCAACAGGACUGCCACUCUGCUUACUGGCAGUGACCUUUAAGGUGAGCAUAGAGGGUAAGGGGUUAGGAAUCUCCAGGGGAGAUGUGACAGGAGACCCUGCAGAAGCACAGUAAUUAUUCAGCAUGUAUCCACAGCAUGCUAGAUACUUCAUGCUGCCUUGCCUUUUGCUUCAUUAAUCUACCAGGGAAUCCUGAUUUAAAUAAAUGUAGUGACAACUCCUUGCAGCUGGGUGCUGCCUCUAAUCCCAGCAUUCUGGAGGCAGAGAGGUGGAACUCUGAGUUUGAGGCCAGCCUGAUCUACAGAGCAAGUCCCAGGACAGCCAGAGCUACACAGAAGAAACCCUAUCUUGAAAAAUCAAACAAAAUACAACAACCCCACUUAGCAAAAAGGGCAAGAACAGAAGAUUCGCCUGGGGGUAGUAUAGAUAGGAGUUUUGUUUGGCACUGAUCAACAGAACAGCUUGGUUUCCCAAUACGGGAUUGCAGAGAUGAACAGUUUGAGAGCACAGGCUGGAAACUCCCUAGGCUCCCCCAAAGACCCACCCUGCUCUGGGCUUUUCCUGCAGAAUUAAAGUUACAAUAUUCAGAAAAGAGCCUUUUCUUCACAUCUACAGCUUGGGAACGUCUCAGCGCCAAGCAGUACAGUUCAGAAGCCCAGACACAUGGCAUCAGAGUCCUGCAGAAUCCCAGCGCAAACAUCAGUACCCACAAACCAACCAGUCAGAGUUGGCCUCGCUUAAAGCCACUUGGUUGUCUAAGUAAACUACCUCAGUCCACAGCAUCAGGAUGCUUGAAAGGCUUGGGUUACCAGUGCAGCAACACUUCCUGAAUAAACAUUGAAGCGUUUGAAAGUGAAAUGAAUACUUAGUAUCAAAUGUGUACACAGGACUUUGCCUUGGAACAACUUAGUGUAGAGGAGAGCGGCCCAAACACAGAGACUAUGGACAACCUGGUGACUUGUUGGGGUGUGGUUAUAGGUGGUCAUGAGAUGCCAGUCUCCCCGCUCUGUGCUUGAGAAGAUCCUGACCGACAUGCAAAGGUAAAACACACGCUGGCCUCAAAAGUUACCCGGUAUCGGUAAGCACCUAGGAGAUCUUGACAGGGGCCUGGCUCUAGCAUGUAUUCAUCUCUAAGAUGAAAAUCACCACUAGACAAAACUGUUCCAGCUAUUGACUGUGUCGAAGGAACUCCAAAGCACGGUAAUAAUACAGUGACCUCAUUUGUUUUGUCCAUGAAUCUGAGACUUGGUUGUGACUUUGUGGGGCAACCCACCCAGCCCCCAUCAUCACUCUUUUCCUGGAAAACUCAAAGGCAGCAGCUAGGAAGCCCUGAGCAUAGUCAGGCCAGUCAUUGGCUGGGAUCUCAGAUUGUCAGCCACAACAUACACAGGCGGACUCCGUGUAGCCUGGCUUUCUCACCACACAGUGACCUGGUUUUUACAGGAGACCCCCAAGAAAACUGGAUUUAUUUUCGAAUGACCUAGGCUUGAAAAUCCCAUGACCUCACAUCUACCACACUCUACCAGCCAGUGAGUCACAGGCUCCGACAACAUCGUAGCAAAACUGUCCUGACCGUGUGGUUCUGGAAGAAAAACGUCCAGCGCUUUGGCCUUGUUGAGGCAGGGCCUCCUGCCGCCGAGGUUGACCUUAAAGCCAGACCGUCAAACAGUAGAUGAACUCCUGAUCCUCCUGCCUCCACCUGUGAAGCACUAGGAUGACAGGCUCCUCGCGUGUUUGGCGCCCCACAAAAGGCUGGGCUUGUAAGGAUGGGUGGACCGAAGCCAGCGUAGCUCAGUGCGCAGGGGCCCUGGACCAGAGAAGCAAGCUGAAGCCAGAGGUCCGCAAAGGUCCCUGUCCCUGCAGGAGG
ensembl:lncRNA